GCAUCGGUGGUUCAGUUGUAGAAUGCUCGCCUGCCACGGGGGGCGCCCCUGGUUCGAUUCCCGGCCGAUGCA